rnacentral:rRNA from 1 species
GACGAACGCUGGCGGCGUGCCUAAUACAUGCAAGUAGAACGCUGAAGGAGGAGCUUGCUCUUCUGGAUGAGUUGCGAACGGGUGAGUAACGCGUAGGUAACCUGCCUGGUAGCGGGGGAUAACUAUUGGAAACGAUAGCUAAUACCGCAUAACAGUAGAUGUUGCAUGACAUUUACUUAAAAGGUGCAAUUGCAUCACUACCAGAUGGACCUGCGUUGUAUUAGCUAGUUGGUGGGGUAACGGCUCACCAAGGCGACGAUACAUAGCCGACCUGAGAGGGUGAUCGGCCACACUGGGACUGAGACACGGCCCAGACUCCUACGGGAGGCAGCAGUAGGGAAUCUUCGGCAAUGGACGGAGGUCUGACCGAGCAACGCCGCGUGAGUGAAGAAGGUUUUCGGAUCGUAAAGCUCUGUUGUAAGAGAAGAACGAGUGUGAGAGUGGAAAGUUCACACUGUGACGGUAUCUUACCAGAAAGGGACGGCUAACUACGUG